CCCUACUAUGCUGAGCCAUAAACUUGACGCGCAUCAAAACAAGCCGUCCGCCAGAGAACUACGAGCGCACAGCUUAAAACUCAAAGGACUUGGCGGUGUCCCAAACAGCCUAGAGGAGCCUGUCCUAUAACCCGAAACCACGCGCUUCACCCAACCACUUGUUGCAUAUAACAGCCUAUAUACCGCCGUCGUCAGUUCACCUUAUGAAAGCAUCUUAGUGGACAAAAGAGUCAGUACACUAAUACGUCAGGUCGAGGUGUAGCUAAUCAUGUGGAAGCGAUGGGCUACAUUUUCAUAAAAUGACCAUACGAACAAUAAUAUGAAAUACUUAUUACAAGGCGGAUUUAGUAGUAAAAUAAAUAAGCUUAUUUACUUUAACCAUGCUCUGGGACGCGCACACACCGCCCGUCACCCUCUUCAAAUAACAAUUACCCAUAUAUAAUUACCUACCACAACAAAAAGAAGAGAUAAGUC
rnacentral:rRNA from 1 species